CGCUAGUACCGCAUACGUCCUACGGGAGAAAGCAGGGGACCUUCGGGCCUUGCGCUAUCAGAUGAGCCUAGGUCGGAUUAGCUAGUUGGUGGGGUAAUGGCUCACCAAGGCGACGAUCCGUAACUGGUCUGAGAGGAUGAUCAGUCACACUGGAACUGAGACACGGUCCAGACUCCUACGGGAGGCAGCAGUGGGGAAUAUUGGACAAUGGGCGAAAGCCUGAUCCAGCCAUGCCGCGUGUGUGAAGAAGGUCUUCGGAUUGUAAAGCACUUUAAGUUGGGAGGAAGGGCCGUUACCUAAUACGUGAUGGUUUUGACGUUACCGACAGAAUAAGCACCGGCUAACUCUGUGCCAGCAGCCGCGGUAAUACAGAUGCAA
rnacentral:rRNA from 1 species